rnacentral:lncRNA from 1 species
AUCCCGAAAGUACUCUUUACUGACCACCUUCAGAUAAAGAGAUAAGAAUUGAAAUGUGCAAUAUGAAGUACUAAUUAAAAUUCUUGGAAAUUCAGUCAGAACCAUAAAACCAACGUUUUGUCCGUUUCGGGCUUAGCCCUAAACCUCUAGUACGUAUGGCGCGCACGGUCCUCACUUGCGACGCAAGUAUAAGCCGAUAAAUAUAAGCAUAAGAAGCUUAUGCGCUAGUGGAACGGCUGCGACAUAAACAUGAGCAUAUAUUAAGCUUUCUUCUUUUGCUAAUGCUUAUGCUUCAAGCAUAAGCAUUAGCAAAAGAAGAAAGCUUAUGCUUGCGUCGCAAGUGACGACCGGGCUUUAUGCCUAUGCUUAUCUCUGGCCGUCUCCACUAGCGCAUAAGGUUCUUUUAUACUUAUGCUUGAGUCGCAAGUGAGAGGGGGAUUUAUGAGAAAAGGAGGAUCAAGGAGGGUGGGGAGGGGGAGGGGGGAAGAGGGCAAUCAAAAAAUUAAAUUGACCCUUGUCAAGGGGUACUUGAAAUAAAAAGAAGCAACGGACAACUUGCCAACAACUGAACUUGCUCAGUCGUUUCGGGUGUAGUCCUCUCUCUGUAUGUCAGAAACGUUUUUUUGACAUAAACGCAACUCAGAUUUGAAACUUUCAAGAGCUUUUUCAGCGUCCUUUUUGGCUUAUGUGAUAAAUUAUAAUUACUAUCAAAACACAGAGUGUCCAGGACCUGUGAUGGAUCAUAGCAUACUAUUGCCUUUUCUAGAUAAGACGGGCAAGGCAAUAGCCUUGAUGUAUUUAGUUGUCCAAACACAAAUGAAAAUAGCUCUCUCAAAAAGUAACCUGCACAGCUCCAACAAAUUCAAACGGGAAGAAUUUAGAGAAAAGUUGUGCGUGUCUGCGAAGCUAAGUUACUGGAAGACUCAUGCAGAGCACUGCCGAAUAGCUGAAAGAGUUCAGUAAAGUUCUAUGAGUCCGUGAGUGAAAUGAGAGGCCAAAAAAUUGAGGAAUCAGAAAAGUUGAAAGAACUGGACAAGUACAUGCACUAUCGCCGGUCAGUUGCAAAGUGAACAUGUCAAAGCCGAGUGACGAAGUGCUGCUGUCUAUAAAGUCGGCUAUAAACUCGCUAUUAUUGCAGAGUAACAACAGAACCAGGAGUCGAAGAGAAACAAAUUGAAGAUUCAGAGGACUCGAGCAAAGUGAUGACAAAGAAGGAAAUUCGAUGGAUUCAUUACAUUUACUCCAUACACUUACUCCAAUGACGAGUGUUGAGGAUCAUUACUCCGAAUAAAAUCAGCGUAGAAGAAUCUGAAGUAGAAAAAAAGUUCCAUUCACCAGAUCCGGAAGAAGUACUGGUAUCAAAAGAAGAGGGGACACCUCACUCGCAGCCCGUGCCCUCCAGGCGUUUUCAGCCGCGUGGUCAGACCCUUUCAGCCGGGGCCUGUCCACAGUCCAUUGGCUAUUUUUCAGACCCCACGGUUGUUAAUUUAACGCUAUCUCUAUCCAGUGGAUAGAGCGGUUUUUGUUUUCAACUGUUAUCCACUGGAUAGCGAUUUUAAAAGGCGAGGUAAGCCCAAUUGCACAAGUUUGUCUUGUAGCUUUGAUUGAUUGACUUUAAAUUUAUUUGUAAUCGAUUGGGGGAAGAGGGGAGGGAUAGUACCAAAACACCAGAGUUUAAUGCAGAGUGAUCUCGACUAUUUUGCCAUUGGACAAGGAGGGUCUUGAAAAACUUUUACUGCAGAGUAGUUUCUCAUCAGUCCCCUCUCCAACAUCUUUUUGUGAAUUCUCCUUAAUAUAAGGGCACAACUGACAGAACAGCCGAUACCUGAUCCACCCUCACCCUGCACCAAACCCCACCCCUCGCGGCCCCUACUCCUGUAGGCGUAUCCGGCGCGAAACUACUGACACGAAAGAUACAAGAAUGUUGUAGGGCAUACUUUAUAUGUUUAAGCAAUAGAGCACUUUUAUUUUCCGUGUUUACAUAGCCUCAUCUAAGCAGUAGGAGGGUUGGGAGAAUUCGAGACAGUUAUGCAAACCCGAGAAGUAGUUGAGGGUUUGCAAAACUUUCGAGAAUUCUCCCAGCCCCCCGAGUGUUUAGAUGAGGCUAUGUAAACAUGGAAAAAGAUGAAAGAUGAAAAAGAUGAAAACAGGAAAAUACGCGCGAAUAGCACUUCUCACGGUUAAUUCUUCUCAUUUGCAUUACAAUGUAAUCCAACGUGGAUGCGAGGCAAUUUCGGGCUAAAACUACAAAAUAGCCUGAAAUUUCCUCACAUACCUGCUAGAUUUUAUUGUAAUGCAAAUUAGCCUGCGACCAGGCUCCCGGCGAGGACGGAAAAAAAUUUCGGCGAGCGCGAAACAGAAGAAUUCGGAGAGGGAAGAGAUCGGGCGCUUCGUUAAAUCGGGCACACCUGGAGCCUGUUCGCAGGCUAAAUGCAAAUGAGCGAAGGUAACAAUGAAAAGGGUUUUUUUCGCGCGAAUCUAAAACGUCACAACUGUGUUUACAUACUCUCAUCUAAACAAACCUAUCGACCAAUGAGAGCGCGCGUAGUAGCUCAGUUAUUUUACAAAACCUCAACGAUACUCUAGAAAGACUAGAAAGUGCUAACAUGAUACAAGAUAAAAAUACAAGAUAAAGAUAAAAACAAGACUAGGUUAUUUUCUCCAUGUGCCUUUUUCGAUUUCACGUGACGUUGUGAUGAUUUUACAGCUAACCUCUUCAGUCCCCUCUCUCACAGUCAGCAUAUUAAACUCGCUAUAAGACUCGCUAUAAAACUCGCUUUUGUACCAAAGAAUCCUACAUGACACACACACAACUUGUUCCCAUGUUCCCAGAACAACUCUAUUUCUGUAGUCAAUGAAGCCUGGGCAUUAGAUCGCAGAAAACGGCGGGAAGAUGGCGGCUCGCCGCGGAUCGAUGAUUGUUGUUUUGCAAAUUUAAAUGCUGUCAAAUUCUGUUGAUAGUCUUUUCUUCUGUCGGGGUAUAACAGUGUUAUCUGUUGGAUUAUUCUGUCGUUCAUAAUGCGAUUUGACUGAAGCAACUAUCUACUGAUCCACUGGAGUGACGAAUGACGACUCGGUUCGGUUGAAACUGUUCCAAGGUUGUCAAGGUUCUCAGCAAUAAGCUUAUAUAAGCUCAAGCUUGGAUAAGUUUAUGCUUACGUUUACGUGGAUUUGAGAGGUCUUGUCCAAGGUACAUUCUGGCAAAGUUGUAACAGUUCUGACAGUCAAAUGGAUUUAUACUGCAUCAGGUGAAAUCCCAGGUGUCAGAGGUUACUUACUAAGUGAGGUGAGAACUUUUGAAUCACUGUCUGAGGGUAAGAUUUUGACUUUAAUGACACAAUGUAAUAUAUUCAAUAUUGCAACUUAGUGGUGAGACAAAGAAGCAAUUCUAGUUUUGCAUGAUAACUAUCAGAGCUCUAACAUUAUAUGAGCUUUAUGAUAAAUAGAUUAAAUCACAGUGUUUGAAAUG